rnacentral:lncRNA from 13 species
AAUAAAGAGCUUUACCUGGCCUGCAGCAGGAAAACUGAACAAAGGGAGAAUUCCUGCUCUCUAAACAAUGCUCCCCCAACCCGUAGCCGACCAGGGAAGGGCAGGAUCAGCUUUCAAGCUCUCCUGGUGGUUGUUGAUAGAAUUGGAUCUUGCAGGCUGUUGGACCAAGUUUCUUCCUGGCGACUGAUGGAAGCUGUUCUCAUUUACUUGCCACUUGGUCCUUUCAAUAGGACAGCCCAAAACACAGCAGCUGGCUUCAUCAGAAUGAGCAAGAGAAGCUCCAACAAGGGGUUCGCCACGUUUUCUAGGGGAUAGCCUUUCUACAUUUCCACCACAUUCCUGGGAAACAGAAAUAAUCUUCAGAGGCUACAACUGCUGAUUAAAUUGUUCAUGGCAUUUGGGAAUGGAGAGGUUAUAUGGAGAAAAAGAAAACUAUCAAAGAUCUACCUGCAAAUUCAUUAGCCA